GGUGGUGCAUUAGCUACACUCUUGGCUCUUGAACUUGCGUCAAGCCAGUUAGCUAAACGUGGAGCAAUCACUAUUACCAUGUACAAUUUUGGAUCUCCAAGAGUAGGCAACAAAAAAUUUGCUGAAAUUUAUAACCAGAAAGUAAAAGACAGCUGGAGAGUUGUAAACCAU